AUUGAACGCUGGCGGCAUGCUUUACACAUGCAAGUCGAACGGCAGCGGGGGCUUCGGCCUGCCGGCGAGUGGCGAACGGGUGAGCGAUGCAUCGGAACGUGCCCAUGUCGUGGGGGAUAACUACGCGAAAGCGUGGCUAAUACCGCAUACGCCCUGAGGGGGAAAGCGGGGGAUCUUUCGGGACCUCGCGCGAUUGGAGCGGCCGAUGUCGGAUUAGCUAGUUGGUGGGGUAAGGGCUCACCAAGGAGACGAUCCGUAGCUGGUCUGAGAGGAUGAUCAGCCACACUGGGACUGAGAACCGGCCCAGACUACUACGGGAGGCAGCAGUGGGGAAUUUUGGACAAUGGGCGAAAGUCUGAUCCAGCAAUGCCGCGUGUGUGAAGAAGGCCUUCGGGUUGUAAAGCACUUUAAGUUGGGAGGAAGGUCUGUAAGCUAAUAUCUUGCAGUCUUGACGUUACCAACAGAAUAAGCACCGGCUAACUCUGUGCCAGCCGCCGCAGUAACAC
rnacentral:rRNA from 1 species